rnacentral:rRNA from 1 species
AACGAACGCUGGCGGCAUGCCUAACACAUGCAAGUCGAACGAGACCUUCGGGUCUAGUGGCGCACGGGUGCGUAACGCGUGGGAACCUGCCCUUAGGUUCGGAAUAACUCCCCGAAAGGGGUGCUAAUACCGGAUAAUGUCUUCGGACCAAAGAUUUAUCGCCUUUGGAUGGGCCCGCGUUGGAUUAGCUAGUUGGUAGGGUAAAAGCCUACCAAGGCGACGAUCCAUAGCUGGUCUGAGAGGAUGAUCAGCCACACUGGGACUGAGACACGGCCCAGACCCCUGGGGGAGGCACACGGCCGGAACUCUGGCGGAGGGGAGCAGGGGGGAUUAUGGAACACCGGGCGAAGGCAGAAUCCCGCAUGGCCGGGGAGGUGUUGAGGUGGUAAGGGUUGAAAACCUCUUUUCCCCGGGAUGUUAUGAAGGGACCCGGAAAAAAAGACCCGGCUAACCUCGGG